rnacentral:rRNA from 1 species
UACUCGAGUGGUGAACGGGUGAGUAACACGUGGGUGAUCUGCCCUGCACUUCGGGAUAAGCUUGGGAAACUGGGUCUAAUACCGGAUAGGAGCCAUCUUUAGUGUGGUGGUUGGAAAGUUUUUUCGGUGUAGGAUGAGCUCGCGGCCUAUCAGCUUGUUGGCGGGGUAAUGGCCUACCAAGGCGGCGACGGGUAGCCGGCCUGAGAGGGUGUACGGCCACAUUGGGACUGAGAUACGGCCCAG